ACAAGCGGUGGAGCAUGCGGUUUAAUUCGAAGCAACGCGAAGAACCUUACCAGGUCUUGACAUCCCGAUGCUAUUUCUAGAGAUAGAAAGUUACUUCGGUACAUCGGUGACAGGUGGUGCAUGGUUGUCGUCAGCUCGUGUCGUGAGAUGUUGGGUUAAGUCCCGCAACGAGCGCAACCCCUAUUGUUAGUUGCCAUCAUUCAGUUGGGCACUCUAGCGAGACUGCCGGUAAUAAACCGGAGGAAGGUGGGGAUGACGUCAAAUCAUCAUGCCCCUUAUGACCUGGGCUACACACGUGCUACAAUGGGCGGUACAAAGGGUCGCGAACCCGCGAGGGGGAGCCAAUCCCAAAAAGCCGCUCUCAGUUCGGAUUGCAGGCUGCAACUCGCCUGCAUGAAGCCGGAAUCGCUAGUAAUCGCGGAUCAGCAUGCCGCGGUCGAAUACGUUCCGGGCCUU
rnacentral:rRNA from 1 species